rnacentral:rRNA from 1 species
UACGGGGGGGGCAAGCGUUGUUCGGAAUUACUGGGCGUAAAGGGUGCGUAGGCGGUUCGCUAAGUCGGAUGUGAAAACUCUGGGCUCAACCCAGAGCCUGCAUCCAAAACUGGCGGGCUAGAGUUCUGGAGGGGGUAGCGGAAUUCCUGGUGUAGCGGUGAAAUGCGCAGAUAUCAGGAAGAACACCCGGGGCGAAGGCGGCUCUCUGGAACGCAACUGACGCUGAGACGCGAAAGCGUGGGGAGCAAACAGG